GACGAACGCUGGCGGCGUGCUUAACACAUGCAAGUCGAACGGAAAGGCCUUGCUUUUGUGGGGUGCUCGAUUGGCGAACGGGUGAGUAACACGUGAGUAACCUGCCCUUGACUUUGGGAUAACUUCAGGAAACUGGGGCUAAUACCGGAUAGGAGCUCCUGCUGCAUGGUGGGGGUUGGAAAGUGUCGGCGGUUGGGGAUGGACUCGCGGCUUAUCCGCUUGUUGGUGGGGUAGUGGCUUACCAAGGCUGUGACGGGUAGCCGGCCUGAGAGGGUGACCGGCCACAUUGGGACUGAGAUACGGACCAGAAUCCUACGGGAGGCAGCAGUGGGAAAUAUUGCACAAUGGGCGGAAGCCUGAUGCAGCAACGCCGCGUGCGGGAUGACGGCCUUCGGGUUGUAAACCGCUUUCGCCUGUGACGAAGCGUGAGUGACGGUAAUGGGUAAAGAAGCAACGGCUAACUACGUG
rnacentral:rRNA from 1 species